CCUACGGGAGGCAGCAGUGAGGAAUAUUGGUCAAUGGACGAGAGUCUGAACCAGCCAAGUAGCGUGAAGGAUGACUGCCCUAUGGGUUGUAAACUUCUUUUAUAUGGGAAUAAAAUGUUCCACGUGUGGGAUUUUGUAUGUACCAUAUGAAUAAGGAUCGGCUAACUCCGUGCCAGAAGCCCCGUUAAUACGGAGGCUCCGAGCGUUAUCAGGAUUUAUUGGUUUUAAAGGGAGCGUAGGUGGAUUGUUAAGUCAGUUUGGAAAGUUUGCGGCUCAACCGUAAAAUUGCAGUUGAAACUGGCAGUCUUGAGUACAGUAGAGGUGGGCGGAAUUCGUGGUGUUGCGGUGAAAUGCUUAGAUAUCACGAAGAACCCCGAUUGCGAAUGCAGUUCACUGGACUGCAACUGACACUGAGGCUCGAAAGUGUGGGUAUCAAACAGGAUUAGAUACCCCAGUAGUC
rnacentral:rRNA from 1 species